CAACUUGAAGUGAUGGGCUUAAUGCUGGGAAAGGUGGAUGGUGAAACCAUGAUCAUUAUGGACAGUUUUGCUUUGCCUGUAGAGGGCACUGAAACCCGAGUAAGUGCUCAGGCUGCUGCAUAUGAGUACAUGGCUGCGUAUAUAGAAAAUGCCAAACAGGUUGGUGGCCUUGAAAAUGCAAUUGGCUGGUAUCACAGCCAUCCUGGCUAUGGCUGCUGGCUUUCUGGGGUUGAUGUUAGUGCUCAGAUGCUCAAGCAGCAGUUCCAGGCACCAUUCAUAGCCGUAGUAAUUGACCCAACAAGAACAAUAUCUGCAGAAAAAGUGAAUCUUGAAGCCUUUAGGACAUACCCAAAGGGCUACAAACCCCCUGAUAAAGAACCUUCUGAGUACCAGACUAUCCCACUUAAUAAAAUAGAAGACUUUGGUGUACAUUGCAAACCAUAUUAUGCCUUAGAAGUCUCAUAUUUCAAAUCCUCAUUGGAUCGCAAAUUGCUUGAGCUUUUGUGGAAUAAAUACUGGGUGAAUAUGCUGAGUUCCUCUAGUUUGCUUACUAAUGCAGACUAUACCACUGGUCAGGUCUUUGAUUUGUCUGAAAAAUUAGAACAGUCAGAAGCCCAGCUGGGACGAGGGAGUUUCAUGUUGGGUUUAGAAACACAUGACAGAAAGUCGGAAGACAAACUUGCCAAAGCUACAAGAAACAGCUAUAAAACUACCAUAGAAGCUAUCCAUGGAUUGAUGUCUCAGGUUACUAAGGAUAACUGUUUAAUCAAAUUAACAUCUCUUAAACAAUCACUAAGUAGUAUUUUUGACUGAAAGCCAGUAUGAGAAAAAUACUCAAGUAACACUUUAAAACCAGUUACCAAAUAUCUGAUUAGAAGUAUAAGGUGCUCUGAAGUGUCCUGAAUAUUAACAUCGUGUAAUAAAACUCUUUAAAAUG